rnacentral:ncRNA from 14 species
GGGUGUUCGCAAAAUGCUGAUGCGGACAGGUUCUAACGUUGGUCGGGCCGCCAACG